rnacentral:rRNA from 1 species
UACGAAGGGGGCAAGCGUUGUUCGGAAUUACUGGGCGUAAAGGGCGCGUAGGCGGCCGAUCAAGUCAGGCGUGAAAUUCCCGGGCUCAACCUGGGGGCUGCGCUUGAUACUGAUUGGCUUGAAUGCGGGAGAGGAUAGUGGAAUUCCCAGUGUAGAGGUGAAAUUCGUAGAUAUUGGGAAGAACACCGGUGGCGAAGGCGGCUAUCUGGACCGACAUUGACGCUGAGGCGCGAAAGCGUGGGGAGCAAACAGG